GACGAACGCUGGCGGCGUGCUUAACACAUGCAGGUCGAACGGAAAGGCCUGCUUUCCCUUGUGGAUUGCGGGUACUCGAGUGGCGAACGGGUGAGUAACACGUGAGUGAUCUGCCCCCAACUUGGGUAUAAGCCUGGGAAACUGGGUCUAAUUCCCGAUAGGACUGCAGGGUGGUGCCUGUGGUGGAAAACGAUUUUCUAGUGGUUGGGGAUGAGCUCGCGGCCUAUCAGCUUGUUGGUGGGGUAAUGGCCUACCAAGGCGGCGACGGGUAGCCGGCCUGGGAGGGUGGACGGCCACAUUGGGACUGAGAUACGGCCCAGACUCCUACGGGAGGCAGCAGUGGGGAAUAUUGCACAAUGGGCGGAAGCCUGAUGCAGCGACGCCGCGUGGGGGAUGACGGCCUUCGGGUUGUAAACUCCUUUCGACCGCGAGGAAGCCACCUGGUUGGAAGGGUGGUGACGGUAGUGGUAGAAGAAGCACCGGCUAACUACGUG
rnacentral:rRNA from 1 species